rnacentral:rRNA from 1 species
AUUGAACGCUGGCGGCAUGCCUUACACAUGCAAGUCGAACGGCAGCGGACCUUCGGGUGCCGGCGAGUGGCGAACGGGUGAGUAAUGCAUCGGAACGUACCUUUCAGUGGGGGAUAACGUAGCGAAAGUUACGCUAAUACCGCAUAUUCUGUGGGCAGGAAAGCAGGGGAUCGCAAGACCUUGCGCUGAGUGAGCGGCCGAUGUCAGAUUAGCUAGUUGGUGAGGUAAAGGGCCACCAAGGCGACGAUCUGUAGCGGGUCUGAGAGGAUGAUCCGCCACACUGGGACUGAGACACGGCCCAGACUCCUACGGGAGGCAGCAGUGGGGAAUUUUGGACAAUGGGCGCAAGCCUGAUCCAGCCAUUCCGCGUGCAGGAUGAAGGCCUUCGGGCUGUAAACUGCUUUUGUACAGAACGAAAAAGCUCUGGUUAAGACCUGGAGUCCAUGACGGUACUGUAAGAAUAAGCACCGGCUAACUACGUGCCAGCCGCCGCAGUAAAAC